rnacentral:rRNA from 1 species
AUUGAACGCUGGCGGCAUGCCUUACACAUGCAAGUCGAACGGCAGCACGGACUUCGGUCUGGUGGCGAGUGGCGAACGGGUGAGUAAUGUAUCGGAACGUACCUUUCAGUGGGGGAUAACGUAGCGAAAGUUACGCUAAUACCGCAUAUUCUGUGAGCAGGAAAGCAGGGGAUCGCAAGACCUUGCGCUGAUUGAGCGGCCGAUAUCAGAUUAGCUAGUUGGUGAGGUAAAGGCUCACCAAGGCGACGAUCUGUAGCGGGUCUGAGAGGAUGAUCCGCCACACUGGAACUGAGACACGGUCCAGACUCCUACGGGAGGCAGCAGUGGGGAAUUUUGGACAAUGGGGGCGAACCCUGAUCCAGCCAUGCCGCGUGAGUGAAGAAGGCCU